rnacentral:rRNA from 1 species
UACGUAGGGUGCAAGCGUUUAAUCGGAAUUACUGGGCGUAAAGCGUGCGCAGGCGGUUUUGUAAGUCUGUUGUGAAAUCCCCCGGGCUUAACCUGGGAAUGGCAAUGGAGACUGCAAGGCUAGAGUUUGGCAGAGGGGGGUAGAAUUCCACGUGUAGCAGUGAAAUGCGUAGAGAUGUGGAGGAACACCGAUGGCGAAGGCAGCCCCCUGGGUCAAGACUGACGCUCAUGCACGAAGGCGUGGGGGAGCAAACAGG